rnacentral:rRNA from 1 species
UACGUAGGGUGCGAGCGUUAAUCGGAAUUACUGGGCGUAAAGCGUGCGCAGGCGGUUUUGUAAGCCAGAUGUGAAAUCCCCGGGCUUAACCUGGGAAUGGCAUUUGGGACUGCAAGGCUCGAGUGCGGCAGAGGAGACUGGAAUUCCUGGUGUAGCAGUGAAAUGCGUAGAUAUCAGGAGGAAUACCGAUGGCGAAGGCAGGUCUCUGGGCAGUAACUGACGCUGAGGAGCGAAAGCGUGGGGAGCGAACAGG